GUUUUUAAAUUAAUUCCGCAUGCAGUAUUAUUAUUAUUUUCUUCCAAUUGAGAUUUAAUUAUGUUUUGAAUAUUUGAGAUUUAGUUUAUCGAGAUUUAUUUAUGGAUUACGAGAUUAGUAUUGAAAUUCCUUCCCGAGGGCUUUUAGUAGAUUUUUGAGAUAGUCAUUCAUGAGUUAUUGAGUUGGGAAAUGAUUUUCGGGAAGUGACUGAUUCGGAAAAAUAUUAUGAGAAUUAUUGUUUUCGAAUAUCAGUUUUUAUGAAGAUAUACGAGUGCGAGGGAUUUAGCAAAUAUUUGAGCAUGAUUGAUUUAUCGAGAUUUAUUGGGUUUUGAAUUCCGCACUUAUCAGACUUGGGUUAGAUGGAACUUUCUUUCCGAAAGCAAUUAUUGAAUUAUAGAGUAUGUGAUUAUGCUUUCGAGGAUUUAUUGAGAUAUCGAGGAUUGAGUUAUGAUUGAAAGAGGUUAUGUUCAGUUCUUGAGGAGGCUAUUCAGUUUAUUAAGGAGGCCAGUUUUGGCGCAUGCGUAUCUUACCUAGUUGGC
rnacentral:lncRNA from 1 species